GCCUGGGUGGCUCAGUCAGUUAAGCAUCUGACUUCAGCUCAGGUCGUGAUUUCACAGCUGGUGAGUUUGAGCCUCACAUCGGGCU
rnacentral:tRNA from 1 species